rnacentral:rRNA from 1 species
GAUGAACGCUAGCGGCAGGCUUAAUACAUGCAAGUCAAGGGGGUAGCAAUACAACCGGCGCACGGGUGAGUAACGCGUACACAACAUACCAUAUACUGGGGUAUAGCUUCGGGAAACUGGAGAUAAUCCCCCAUAACAUUGCGAGAGGGCAUCUGAUUGCAAUUAAAGUUUCGACGGUAUAUGAUUGGUGUGCGUUUGAUUAGCUUGUUGGUAGGGUAACGGCCUACCAAGGCGACGAUCAAUAGCUGGCGUGAGAGCGCGACCAGCCACACUGGAACUGAGACACGGUCCAGACUCCUACGGGAGGCAGCAGUAGGGAAUAUUGGACAAUGGGCGAAAGCCUGAUCCAGCCAUGCCGCGUGAUAGAUGAAGGCCCUACUGGGUUGUAAAGUAUCUUUUAAUCUGGGAAGAAACUCCUCUAUUCUUAGAGGCCUGACGGUACCAGAGGAAUAAGCACCGGCUAACUCCGUGCCAGCAGCCGCGGUAAU